rnacentral:piRNA from 1 species
AUCCUAAUCUUUCUGCUCCACCUUUCUCA